AGUAUAUAAAGAAAUUAUUAUGGAUUAUAAGCAAUAUAUCACAAGAGAGAACAACUAUUUAUUUAAUUUGUGUUUAGUAGUACACAUGAACUCUUAGAGAAAUUAAGUAAAAAACGAAGUGAAAAGAAGGCUCUUAGUAACUUUAGGAAAAUAAAUCAAAGGAGAUUCUAUUAUUAGUGUGAAUGAAAAUAGAAAAGCCUAUAAAUAAAUAAGUAAAAUGGAUAUUAAUCUGUUUGAAUUAUAAAGGGGAACCUUCCUCUAAGGCUAAAUAUGAUAUAUUAGCGAUAGUGAAUAGUACCGAGAGGGAAUAAUAUGAAAUAGUAAUUUUAUAAGCAGCUCGAAACCAAAUUUAAAUAAAUAAUAAGAGCGUACCUUUUGCAUAAUGGGUCAGCAAGUUAAUAUUAGAUGUAAGCAGUAUUGCCCAGAUAAAACGAUUAUAAUAUAUAUGGAAAAAUAUCUAAAAUUAGACCCGAAACCUAGUGAUCUUACCAUAAUCAGAAUUAUAAAAGUUCGAACGGGUUAUCGUUGUAAAGAUAUCCGAUGAAUUGUGGUAAGUUGGUGAAAGAUAAAACUGACUAGGAUAGCUGGUUUUCCGCGAAACCUAUCUAAGUAGGCCAUUUAAAUAACAUCAUUGCAGGUACAGAAUUUUGAGAUCUCAUUAAAAACUUACGUUAACUUCUUAUUAUUAAGUAUAUGAAGUAUUCGGGGAAUCGUGAAGAUUUUACUGGUGAGAAAUUAAUCUAGGAAUGGUAAUGAUGAAUGUUGAAUAAUCAGACAUAGAAUGCUAAGGUUGUAUGUCAAAAGGGAAACAGCCCAGAACAAGUGUUAUAAUAAGGUUCCAAAAUUAUUAUUAAGUGAAAUCAAGGAAGUCUUUUGAUUUUAAUUCGAUCAGGAAAUAGGCUUAGAAGCAGCCAUUUUUUUGAAGACCUGCUGAGCAUUGUGGGAAUUUGCUCAUUGUGGGUUUAAAACUAUCAAACUCCGGGGACACCCUAAACUUUUAAUUACCAAACAUCAAACCUAAAAGGGUUACGGUGCGGUGGAAGUAAUUACUCCAGUAUGGUAAGAAGAUUAAAGAUCAUCCGAAAGGAUAAUGGGUUAUCGCGGAUCUAAAUCACUUCUAGUGUAGAUAACUGCACAAGUGUAAAAGAGCAACGAGUAGAUGGUAGUUGACACAAUUGAUUGUGUUUCAGGUGUACUCUAAUGGGUUUCGAAAGAAACUAUCAAAUCAGAAUCCCUUCUAAUCAAAUAAUAAACAAACAUAUAAUUUUCUUCCGUAUAUCGAUAAUUAAAAAUAAAAAUUCUAAAGGGAAAGCACUUCCCUUAUCAGUUCGGCUUUAUUUUCAGAUUGGUUUACAUAGAAAGACUUAUUGAUUACUUUGAAAAAUAUCCUCUGAUAACACAGAAAUUAGCUGAUUAUCUUCUAUUCAAACAAGCGUUUGAACUUAUUAAAAAUAAAGAACAUUUGACUAUGAAAGGUCUAAAGAAACUUGUAGCAAUAAAAGCUAGCAUUAAUUGAGGUCUUCCAGAUGGAUUAAAGAAAGCAUUUCCUGAUGUUGACCCAGUUAAGAGACUUAACGUUGUUCAUAAAGAAACAAUAGAUCCUAAUUGACUAGCAGGAUUCACAAGUGGCGAAGGAUCUUUCUUGGUAAGGCUUUUUGAUUCAUCUCACAAUAUAACAGGUAGUCAAGUACAAUUAAGAUUUCAAAUUACUCAACAAUCUCGUGAUCUAGUCUUAAUGGAAAACAUAGUAAAAUAUUUUAGUUGUGGAAAUAUCUCUAAACGUGGAGAUAUUAUAGAUAUUCAUGUAACAAAAUUUAGUGACAUAACUGAAAAGAUAAUUCCAUUAUUUGAAAAAUAUCCCGUCAUAGGAGUGAAAAAGGAAAACUUUUAUGAUUUUUGUAAAGUAGCUGAAUUAAUGAAGAAAAAAGCUCAUCUAACAAAAGAGGGUCUGGAACAAAUUCGUGAAAUAAGAAAAAAUAUGAAUAGCUAUAGGGAAAGUUAUCAGGAUGAGGCUGAUCUCGUAUAAGUUAAAGCAGUUGGUUAUGUAUGGUGUCAUUUGCGGUCUUGAGCGCCCCCUUACCCAAGGGGAUUUUAAAUCAAAAUUCUCCUUCAUGUGAGACUAGAUCUUGUAUGAAGGUAAAACUAUUGUUUGUUUGCCGGCUCCGCCGGUGUAUUUGUAUGAUAAAUCUGAUCGCUAUGCGUAACAGAGCACUGGUUAACAAUGUAAAAAGGCAUUGAAAAUUUAACGGAUCUAAAAUAAUAUACCGAAACCUUGUCUAUAGUUAUAAAUAUUUAUAUUGUAUAACUAUAGGGUAGCGGAACGUAGGGGAUAUAAAAGAAUUUGUUCUUUUUAAGAAAAAAUAAUAUAACUCUAGUGAUAAUGCUGACAUGAGUAACGAUAAAGGCCAAUCUAUAGGUUGACCUCGCCUUAAGCUUAUGGUAUAGAUAAAAGUAACGGCCUCUAAGUUUAUUAACCUAAAGGACUAAACGAUGAGAAAACCUUGUUUAUAAAGUAAUAACCUUUAAAUUUUUAAACAUUUUGGGGUCGCGCGCCCUCUUUAGGAGAGCGCGCCCCCAAUAUCUGAUGUAAAUAAUAAGUGAUGAAGAGUUCAGGAAAAACGAUAAACACUUAACCGUACCUAAAUACCAGCUCAGGUAAGCAAGUAGAGAAUACGAAGGCGUUUGAGUGAACAAU
rnacentral:rRNA from 1 species